AGUUGAGCCGGUUUGAGGAAAGCCGACGUCGAGGAGAACUGCAAGACAAGUGAGUACGAUGACUAAGCCGCUAAGAAUGGCAUUCACGGCAUUGAAUGAGUUCAUGCCAUUCCCAAAUCCCUGUGUAGAUGAACAAGACAGCUAUUCACCAUGCAGGGGCAAUUUCCAUUUCAAUUCAGUCAUUUCAGAAAAAAUAUAUAUAAUUUCACUUCCUGAAUGGACUGAAUUGAAGUGGAAUUGACCCCAACCCUGAUAUUCACCUCAGUUUUCAAACCUGAUAUAAAGAACUCCCAAAGGGACGUUAGUCAAUUCCAUUUAUAUGUACAUUUGAAGGGUUCUUCAACUGGAGAUGGACAUGUUGAAGAUGAGAUCGUCUCUUGAGAGAGGGAGUGUUAUCAAACCUGCGGCCCCAAGAACUAACAACAACCCACUCAGCAGGACCUUACCUGUUACACAGGUAGACUUCUUCAGAGAGGGGAAGCAAAAGGCAGAGAGAGAGCUGUCCAGACUGAGAGAGGCCCUCGGAGAGGCCGAGGAGAGAGCAGAGGCCCUGGAGACAGAGAGAGACCUUCAGCAACUACACACCUCUAAAGAGGUAAGUCCAACACUAGCCUGGUCUAAUGCAGUUUCUGUCCCAAAUGACACCCUCUUCCCUGUAGUGUCCACAACCAUUGACCAAGGAUUAAAGGCCCUAGUCUGUCUGUGUAGUCUUGCCAACUCCUGUGCUCAUUGUUAAAAAAUAUAUAUUUUAUUUUAAAUGUAACCUUUAUUUACCUAGGCAAGUCAGUUAAGAACAAAUUCUUAUUUACAAUGACGACCUACCGGGGAACAGUGGGAUAACUGUCUUGUUCAGGGGCAGAACGACAGAUUUUUACCUUGUCAGCUUGGCGAUUCAAUCCAGCAACCUUUCAGUUACUGGCCCAACGCUCUAAUGAAAAGGCAGCUUUUAAAUCAUUGAUGUACAACAGGAGAAAAAGGGGUCAGAGAACACUUCCUUGUGGUACUCCACAGUUUAUACAGACUCUUCUAUUCCUAUUCAUCUUAGUAUCUCUCCCACUCUGUAGCUCCAGCCUCGUACUCUCCUUACCUCCCACUCUGUCCCCCCAGCCCCGUUCUCUCCUUACCUCCCACUCUGUAUCUCCAUCCCCGUACUCUCCUUACCUCCCACUCUGUCCCCCCAGCCCCGUUCUCUCCCUACCUCCCACUCUGUCUCCAGCCCCGUUCUCUCCCUACCUCCCACUCUGUAGCUCCAGCCCCGUUCUCUCCCUACCUCCCACUCUGUAGCUCCAGCCCCGUUCUCUCCCUACCUCCCACUCGGUCUCCAGCCCCGUUCUCUCCUUACCUCCCACUCUGUAGCUCCAGCCCCGUUCUCUCCCUACCUCCCACUCGGUCUCCAGCCCCGUUCUCUCCCUACCUCCCACUCUGUCUCCAGCCCCGUUCUCUCCUUACCUCCCACUCUGUCCCCCCAGCCCCGUUCUCUCCUUACCUCCCACUCUGUAUCUCCAUCCCCGUUCUCUCCUUACCUCCCACUCUGUAUCUCCAUCCCCGUACUCUCCUUACCUCCCACUCUGUCCCCCCAGCCCCGUUCUCUCCCUACCUCCCACUCUGUCUCCAUCCCCAUUCUCUCCCUACCUCCCACUCUGUAUCUCCAGCCCAGUUCUCUCCCUACCUCCCACUCUGUGUCUCCAGCCCUGUUCUCUCCCUACCUCCCUCUCUGUCCCCCCAGCCCCGUUCUCUCCCUACCUCCCCCUCUGUCUCCAGGCUACAAAACACAUGCUGAAGCACUUUUCUCCUACCUUUCUCUCCCUACCUCCUGCUCUGUGCAUCCAGGCUCAGAGGACAGUUUUGAGCCAGACAGAGGAAGUGAACCAGAGACUGGGUCAUGCCUUGCAGACCCACAGUGAGCUGCAGGACCAGCUGAGUGAGGCACGCAGUAAGCUGGGUCAGGCCACUCUGGUGAGUGGCAGGGUUGGGGUCAAUUCCAUUUAAUUUCAGGAAACCUUUAUUCAUCACUCAAAGGGACAUACAGCAUUAACUCUAGUCCUGGACUAAAAAAACAUAGUCAAUGGACGUUCUUUUUUAAUCCUGAGGACUGAGCUUAAUCAGUGUCUGGGAAACCAACCCAAAGUCCUCUUUCACUUCACUGACUGGUCGUAACCAGCCUCUCUGUCGAGCAGGAGAGGGACCUUCUGACCACCAAGGUGUUGCGGCUGGAGGACAGUGUGGAGGACCUGAAGAUCAAGCUGACCGGGGCCAUGUCUGACAAGGACCGCUUACUGCAGGUCUCCAUCCAUCCUCUGUCUUUACUAGCUAAACACUGUGGCCCUAAUCCUAACUUCACAUCCAUGCGUGAUGAGUUAUCGUGCAAAAUCUUCCGUUAACAUCCAAGGCACGAUCAUCGAGAUAAGGGCAUGCAUCUCGAGUAUAACGAUGCAAAGAUCCAAAGUAUUUGCGCAUAGAUGUUUUGUCUUGAUGAACCCCUGCGUAUGUUCUGUCAUGUAUGGUGUACAGGAGAAGGCAGACCUGCACCAGCACGCUCAGGAUCUGAAGCUGCAGUUGGAGAGGGCCCAGAGAGGCAGGGAAGGCUACACAGACCAGGUGUGUGAGCUCAGCAACCAGCUGGCUGAGGCCAAGGCCCAAACCAACAGGCAGGGGCAGGAGACUGUGCAGAUGAAGCAGGAUCUUCUGACUGUGACAGAGGUGUGAAGUUUGAAUGAACUUGGUUUGGUUAUACACUGUGACGUAGAGGGUUUCAAAAUUCUGGGAAUUAAAAAAAAAAGGGGGAAACUUUCUAUUAAAAUAUUUCUGAAACGUUCCAUAUAUAUUUACCAGAACAAUGCACCCUAAAAGGGGAAACUUUCUAUUAAAAACCCUAUUUCUAGUCCUAGUGCUGUACCUGUUGGUUCCACUUGUUGAGCUGAAUUUUUUUGUACUCUGUGACUGAAUUUUCUACCUGCUUAAGUGUUCCAUAUCCUGUCUGAAUGUUUAACCAUAUCUAUCUCUUUGAUAUUGGACAGAUGAAUGAAAAGAUGACAUCAGAGCUGGAGAUGGUCAAACAGAGGCUGGAGUCCUCAUUGGCUCAGCUGCAUGAGCUGGGGGCGGAGAGAGUCAUCCACACCAAUCAGAUCGCAGCUCUGGAGACGGAGCGCUCGCAGCUGAUUGGAGAGAAGGAGGAGUUAACGAGUGCUAUUGGACGGGAUGGAAGACAGGAGGAGGAAGUGACAGAGUUGAGGGAGAGUUGUUGUCAGCUCAGGUGAGAGGAAUAACAGACUGCAGAUGUAAAUAUGGAGAUCACCACUUGGUACCAUAGCCUUAAGCCCAAAUCAACCCCUAACCCCACACUGGCAGUCAUGACCGCA
rnacentral:lncRNA from 1 species